rnacentral:lncRNA from 1 species
UCUCGUGCGUGGCGUGGGCGAAGAAGGCGGCGAUCUCGCGCUUGGAGUCGUCGGCGGUUCCGGUGUGGCCGAAGGUCGGGUAGGAGCCGGCUGCGGUCAGGAAGUUGUCGCGGGUGUAGAAGCUCUUGCCGGCGCACCCGCCGUCGGCCUGGCCGAUGAUCCCGUCGAAGAAGCUCUGCGUCACGAUGUCGGCCACCGAGACGUCGUUGGAGGGGGUGGAGGAGGAGUAGCACGGUCCCGACUGGCACCCGUCGCCGCAGUAGUCGUCGCCGGUGCCGCAGUAGCCGUACUUGCUGCAGCAGAGGUCGGCAGAGCAGCCG